GUCGCUCCGAUUCGUCCCCCUCGGCCCCUCUAGGGGCACGACGUCGAGGAGGCUGGGAUGGGAUGGGAUCGGGCAGCGCUCCCGGGAUCUCGGGACUGGAUAGUCCAAGGCUUGAAGAGAAAGACUGUUGGUCUAGACAUCGGGGCAGUAGCAGCGAUGCCAACAAUGGGAAAAAUCGGCAACGCUGAUUUGUGCAGCUGAAGGUCCGUCGGGGAAAAUCGGCAUCGCAGAUUUGUUGAUGAACAUGGGCUGGACGCUGGGCUGUCCAGGCCAGGCAGGAAAAUUCGUCAAGGGGAUGCGCUGACGAAACAGGGGCUGUUCAGACACAGCGGGCAAUGUUGGAAUCGGCAGCACCGACGAAAUUGGCAAAGUCGGCAGAAACGGCAGCAGGUGCUGACGAUGAGUCUGGAUGAUUUAUAGUCCUAGGCUUGAUGAAAAUGGCUGGUGGCCUAGACACACACUGGGCAGUGGCAGCGAUGCCACCAGUGGGAAAAAUUGGCAGCGCGGAUUUGUGCAGCUGGAGGCCCGUCGGGAAAAAUCGCCAUCGCAGAUUUGUUGACGAACAUGGGCUGGACAUUGGCCUGUCCAGGCCAGGCUAGAAAAUUCGUCAAGGGGAUGCGCUGACGAAACAAGGGUUGUUCAGACACAACAUGCAGUGUUGGAAUCGGCAGCGCCGACGAAAUCGACAAAGUCGACAGAAUCGGCAGCAGGUGCUGACGAUGAGUCUGGACGAUUUAUAGUCCUAGGCUUGAUGAAAAGGGCUGGUGGCCUAGACACACACUGGGGCAGUGGAAGCGAUGCCACUAGUGGGAAAAAUCAGCAGCAUGGAUUUGUGCGGCUGGAGGCCCGUCGGGGAAAAUCGGCAGGGCAGUUUUGUUGACGAACAUGGGCUGGAUGCUAGGCUGGCCAGGCGGUAAAAUUCAUCAAGGGGGUAGGCUGAUGAAGCAGUUCCUGUUGAGACAAAGCGAGAGGUGUUGGGAUCGGCAGCGCCGACGAAAUAGGCAAAGUUGGCAGAAUCGACAGCAGGUGCUGGCGAUGAGUCUAGACGAUUUAUCAUCCUAGGCUUGACGAAAAAGAUUGGUGGCCUAGGCACACACUUGGGCAGUGGCAGCGAUGCCACCAGUGGGAAAAAUUGGCAGCGUGGAUUUGUGCAGCUGGAGGCCCGUCGGGGAAAAUUAGCAGCGCAGAUUGCUUGACGAACAGGGGCUGGAUGCUAGGCCGGCAAGGCCAGGCAGGAAAAUUAGUCAAAGGGGUGCGUUGACAAAACAGGGGCUGUUCAGACACAGCAGGCAGUGUUGGAAUCGGCAGCGCCGCCAAAAUCGGCAGAAUCGACAGCCGGCACUGACGAUGAGUCUGGAAUGUUUAUAGUCCUAGGCUUGACAAAAAAUACAUGGGGGGCCUCAUGGCCCGAAGUGAUGCCGCCAUCGAUGACCGUUUUCCGGUCGGCGACGACCCGAUUCCGGCCACCGUCCCCGGGACCCACUCCAAGCCAUUGGGCAUGUUGGGGCUGCUUAUCUGUGGCCUGGGCAUGGGACAUUCAUUUUCCGCACUCGUGCCAAGGUGCUGGCAGCUGCUGCGCGCCUGUCAGCUUGGCGCGACGUCACGAUUCCAGCCACCGUCCACAUGACCUGCUCUAAGCCGUUGGGCGCGUUGGGGUUGCUUAUCUACGGCGUGGGCGUGGGGCAUUCAUUUUCCAUGCUCGUGCCAAGGUGCUGGCAGCUGCUGCGUGCUUGUCAGCUUGGCGCGACGUCCCGACGACGACUCGAUUCCGGCCACCAUCCCCUUGACCCGCUCCAAGUCGUUGGGCGUGUUGGGGCUGCUUAUCACGGCAUGGGUGUGGGGCAUUCAUUUGCCGCACUCGUGCCAAGGUGCUGGCAACUGCUGCGCGCCUGUUAGCUUGGUGCUCACAAGUUGGAGGCCUGGCCGACGUGUCUGGUGCGGACCGCCGAGCUUGGGAUUGCGAGGAGAGCUCUAUGCUAGCAUGGGCGUGGCAUUAAAUUGCCGUGCACGUGCCCAUGUGUUGGCUCUCCUCGCCAUCCCUGACCUCGCGGCGCGAGGUGCCCGCUAUUGAGGCCGGGCCUCCGUCUUUCGAGCUGAGGCAGACGACCCCCCGUAUGAUUGUCCCUGUUGCUCCCCCCCGCGGCUUGUCCCUUCGAGAUCCUCCACGUCCCCCGCGGCUUGUUGCUUGUCCCUUCGAGAUCCCCCGCGUCCCCCGCGGCUUUUUGCUUGUCCCUUUAUGAUCCUUUGCGUUCCCCAGCGGCGUGUUGCUUGUCCAUUCGAGAUCCUUUCGCGUCCAGCGGUGCGGGCACGAUCUCUCUCAGGUGUUUCCACUUGCCCUCGUGGCCGUGGUUCGCUCGUCAUGAGCGGUAAUUGGGUUGUUCGUGUUGGCAGGCUCCGUGCUUGUGCACCGAACUGUCGGCCUGCUACCCCCAUCACUCUCAGCCCAAGGCCCUGGGUGCCUUGCGGGGAGGUGGGGUUCCUGUGCUGCAUACCCACUUCGAUGGAAUUUGAAUGUGAACCUAGCAGCGGCGCCCGUGUUCCAGUUGAGCGGAAUCCCGCCGAACUGGCCCACGCGUGAUCGCUUGUGCUUUUGGAUGCGGAACGCGAUGCUGGUACGGGGGCUCUGCCCCUGCGACCGCCUCGUUCAAGCCGCUCGUGCUCGAUGAGAACGACUUCCUCGCCCGUCUCGGCCCCUCGUCUCAUCGGCGUCGGGAAUCGUGCGGGUCGUGGUGUCGCCAAGGAAUGCUACCUGGUUGAUCCUGCCAGUAGUCAUAUGCUUGUCUCAAACA
rnacentral:misc_RNA from 1 species